AACUCAUCUCCUUCAUCUCCCUUAUUCUUCAGAGAUGCCCUUUAAACGCUAGCGCCGCCCUACAAUUCUUCGGUGGAGGCGCCACCACCAAUCACCCCCAUCGAAACCUCACACCCUCUUCUUCCCUAAUAUUUACUUUGUUUCCCUCAAAUCUUGCCGGAAAUGUUCGAAUCUUAAAUAUAAAGUCGGAACCCUAAAUCCCCAAAAAUGCAAUUCAGCUAGUUGGAUGAAGAUUUGAUUUCGAAUUGAACUUUAGUCACGUGUUUUCGUCGAGAACACACGAUUAAGGUUUAUUUCGGUCCAAAAUCGGAUUCUUCAAAGGGUCGUUCAAGACAUUUGUUCACUUUUUUUGGACAGGUAUUUUUAGUACUCCUUUUUCUUCAUUUCUUUUCCCUAUUUCUUCUAUUUUUCUUCUUUUCUUAUGUUUUCUCAAAAUCACUUCUGCAUGUGUCUCUUUAAUCUAGGCCAACCGUUAAUUAGUAUCUUCUUUAAUUCUAUUUGGAUUCAUUUAUUUUAGUUCGUUUGAUUUUCAUUUAGUUUUGGACCGAAGAGACCAUUUGGUUUAGAAAUCCGUUUGAUUCCGAAAUGCUUUUGUUUAUUAUUUGUUCUGCCUUUUAGAUUCUUCUAUUGAACUUCUGAAUUGGACUUGGGUCCAAAAGGAAGGGAUUAGCCUAGGCUUUGUUGUUGUGAAACAUUGGGUCAUUUUGACCCAUACCCAUUUCAGUUUACUGAAGUAAGAACAGAGUGCUUAAGGGAUAAAUUGAGGGAAUUUAAGUAGGGAAUCUCCCGGUAACUGGUUUAGGUAGCUUUUGAGAAUGUGCCAUUAGGACUUCAAUGAAAUUUUGAGUUUAAAGCUAGGAAUUUCUAAGCAAAAACCAGAAUUUUAAGAGGGUCUAAAUACAAAUUUGAAUUUUUUCGGCUGCCCUAAUAGCAUGCCUAUAAAGGCAUCAUUAUUUGAGGUUGAAGGCAGAAAAUUAAUAGAGAAAUAUCUUGAACACUAAAACGGUUGCGUUCUUUGAGAUAAUUCUGAAAUAACAUUGAAUUUUCCUGCAUUUCUUAAUUGAAAACAACUCAAAACUUUGCUUGGUUUUGGUUUUCAGAUUCUCAUUGUUGCGUUUUAAACUACUGAAAACAUUAGAGUCCGACAUUUGGUUAAAAUGGCUCGAAUUUGGAUUUAAGAGUUUGGUUUUGAAUCAUUUGGAUUCUGGUUUUUGAAGUUUGGAUUUUUGUUGUUGUUAUUGUUGCAUUGUUGAUUUCGGCUACUACUGCUUCCUCUUAGUUUCAGACUAAAUUUCUGAUUUAUUUUGCUGUUAUUCAGGUACACUUCUGCAUUUUACCUAAUCUAAGGCCUGCUUUAAAGUCGAAGUGGAAAUCUAGAGUUUAAGCAUAGCCUUAACAUGUUCUGAUCUAUAGUCUAGCUUUAUUUUAUUGUUUUCCUUUUAUUUUUUGUCUAAAUUCUAUGGUUCUAAGUUUAUCUGAUGCACUGUGUUUUGCUGGUUGCUAGGAAUAUUCCUCUAAAGGGGUGUAUUUGGCUUGAACUUAGUAAGAGGUCAAUCUUCUCUCAAGCACCUUAUAGUUAGAUGUUGAUUUGUGAUAAUUGAACUCUUAUUAUUGUAUCUAAUUUUGGAUUGUCACAAAACAUGAUGAAAUCCUGUUAAUCAAAUCAGUAGUUGGAUUUUAUGUUCAGUCCUGUUAAAGUAAAGUAUGCUGUGUCAGAUCUUCCCUGCUAUGCAAUUCAUGUGGAUGUCAUAAUAUAGUGCUAUGUUCAUGCAAUGGGUAACUGACUACUCCUUAAGUGCUUGUUGGUAUAAAAUCAAGUUCAAAAGAAAGGAGUAAUGACAUUAAGGGUCAAGCUAUGUAGAUGAUUACUAUUGGUGUAAUUAUGAGCAUGUUUGAGCUAAUUUUAAUGUUAAAAUUGUCCAUUUAGUUAUCCCUCAUAUUUGUUUUUGCUAUUUGUGUGCAUGGA
rnacentral:lncRNA from 1 species